UGGGUUCGAUUCCGGAGAGGGAGCNUGAGAAACGGCUACCACAUCUAAGGAAGGCAGCAGGCGCGUAAAUUACCCAAUCCUGACACAGGGAGGUAGUGACAAGAAAUAUCAAUAUAGGACUUUUGUGUCUUGUAAUUGGGAUGAGCGGAACUUAAAUCGCUUCUCGAGUAUCAAUUGGAGGGCAAGUCUGGUGCCAGCAGCCGCGGUAAUUCCAGCUCCAAUAGCGUAUAUUAAAAUUGUUGCGGUUAAAACGCUCGUAGUUGGAUGUAUGCAAUUGAACUUCGGUCCUUCCAAGUGAAGAUUACUCGAGGUUUCGCUUGCAUUUGUCCAGGGAAGAUGGAUGUACUUCACUGUAUGACCAUGUAAUCUGGACUUUUACUUUGAGGAAAUAAGAGUGUUCCAAGCAGGCUUUCGCCGUGAAUAUGAUAGCAUGGAAUAAUAGCACAGGACUCUUGGUUCAAUGCUGUUGGUUUGUUGAGCUAGAGUAAUCCAAAUAAGGAUAGUUGGGGGUAUUCGUAUUUAACUGUCAGAGGUGAAAUUCUUGGAUUUUUUAAAGACGAACAAUUGCGAAGGCAUCUACCCAGGAUGUUUUUGUUGAUCAAGAACGAAAGUUAGGGGAUCGAAGACGAUCAGAUACCGUCCUAGUCUUAACCUUAAACUAUGCCGGCUGGAGAUCGGAGCCGUCAGAUUUGUGACGGUUUCGGCAUCCUAUGAGAAAUCUAAGUCUUUGGGUUCCGGGGGGAGUAUGGUCGCAAGGCUGAAACUUAAAGGAAUUGACGGAAGGGCACCACCAGGAGUGGAGCCUGCGGCUUAAUUUGA
rnacentral:rRNA from 1 species